ACACUGAUGGUGAAGUGGUUAUCAUGCUUGCCUUCCAUACGCUACCUGUUUGGUGGGAUGUAAGCAAGCGGCAGGGGUUCGAUUCCCCUUCAGUGUA